rnacentral:rRNA from 1 species
UACGGGGGGGGGCAAGCGUUGUUCGGAAUUACUGGGCGUAAAGGGCUCGUAGGUGGCCAACUAAGUCAGACGUGAAAUCCCUCGGCUUAACCGGGGAACUGCGUCUGAUACUGGAUGGCUUGAGGUUGGGAGAGGGAUGCGGAAUUCCAGGUGUAGCGGUGAAAUGCGUAGAUAUCUGGAGGAAUACCGGUGGCGAAGGCGGCAUCCUGGACCGAGAUUGACGCUGAGGAGCGAAAGCUAGGGGAGCAAACGGG